UGGGGGGGGGUUGUUGUUUUUGGGGGGACAGGGUGCUGGGAGUGGGGUGGUAGGGAGCCAGAUUCAGCAAGCUUGGCACAAGAAGAUAAACAUGAGCAAAUAUCACCAGGAGUUGAAGAAACACCAUACCUUCAGUGGAGAUUAUUUACUGGAUUGUCAAAUUUCUUUCGUGAAAAAAAUUCCUAAAACAAACAAAAACGUAUAUUUCGGAUCAGGUCUAUUUUUCGUUUUCAUCAAUAUGGAUUUAAUCCCAAAUACAGGCAGGACCAGGAUAUGUUGAUUCCUAUAAGAUUUUCCAACCAUUCAUCCAAUCAAUCCAGACUGACUUCAGAUUGGAAAAACAAGCCAAAUUUAAAUCUCACAGUUGUUUACCACAGUAAAGAGAACUUGUAUCUUUCCUGUAAUCGAACACCCACUGUGGAGUGGAGUCCAAAUAUCUGAGACCACAUUGAAAAUCUGCCAAUCAAAAUUCAACUUAAGCCUGUAAAUAAACAAGAAGUUUCUACACUUGUCAGAUCAUGCUGAUAGAACAUUUUAUGUUGUAAUUAAACCAAAAUAGAGGCAUACAAGGUAUUACCUUGUGUAAACUUCCAAUUCAAUUUCACUCAAAUUGUUACGCCACUAACUCAUUUGUAGGCUAAAAAAAUGUGUAUUGUUUAGAUAUUUGUAUUUGUAUUCUAUUCUCCCAAAAAGUAAUCUCUCUAGUGGCCUCAGAUGUUUGUAACCCAGUAGAUAUGCAAAUUAAAGAUGGAGUUAAUAAAUGGAUUUGGAAUGUGUUAUAAAUUAAGCCAAGUAGGUGAUCUGGAGGAUUGGUGUACCAAGCACCAACAUGUUUGGAAAAAUAAAUAUGCCUCUGGUUUGCUCUUCGGUCAUGAGAUGGUGAAAGAAUUGCAAUUCACAAAAAGUCAUUUCUGACUCUCUUACCUUGAUCUCCAAAACCUCCAAACAAAGAAUCUCUAAAAUCAAAAUAUCACACACAAAACAAAAGCUUGGUUCUGCUGAUACGAAGACUGACUCAAAAGCUCAUCCUUGCAGAAUUCUUGAAUCAUUGGAGACCACGCUGUCACGUUAUGUGAAGGACUUUCUUAAAGAGAUGGCACUCCCGUGUUAUUUGAAAGCCAAGCAUAGGGGGCAUCAACAAGAGCCUUUCCUUGACCGCUGGAACUCUUACCUCUCAACUGGGAGGCAUUAUCAUGCCCCAUUGUACAUUUUCAUUAUGUUCCAAACCCCUAAACCUGCUCUCACAAGGAUGCCACAGAUCAACAUUACUGUAUCUCAUUGUCUUACGUACUGUAUUCUUGACUUGCUUAUCAAAACAAUGUUACAUUUACACAUUUGGAAGACAAGUCUCUAGAGUAGACCAACCAACAAACAUGUAAAAGUUUUAAGUACAUAGCCUUAUAAUGAUUCUCUGGGAUAUUUAGUCCCCCUAAAACUGACAUUUGUUUAGUCUGGGUUUACGUUUGUGUAAACUGUGUGACUGUUUAGUUCUAUUAUUUCAGUGAUCCAGAUCAUAUGUGUGUAACUAUCGUAGAAGAAGCAACAGAUAGCAGUACCACUAAUUUUUAGCACAGAAUGAACUCAGCUUUGAGAUAAGAAAUGGGUGUUGUUAUUGGUUGUGUGCUUACAAUGUGAAACUAACUAUGUUUCUGUUGGUCAGAACCCUUCUCCACAAUGUCAGCAGCUCUCGUUUUAGACAUAGAUGGUUGAUAUACAUUAAGUGGAUUUGCCCUUAUACAUAUAUACUAUUAUUCAAGCUACCUAAGAUCUCUGUGGGCCUUAUCUGCUAUUCUUCAUUGAACAUAUACUAUACUCAUGUUGAAUUAAGGUUACUGAAAAUGAAUUUGGUCACUAAAGACAAACCACUAGGAUGAUGCCACAGUAGCAUUCCCACUAUAAUAGAACAUUUUAAAGGUUGUCAUCGAUGUGGGCCGAGAGACAUGACAAUGAGGACGAGGGUUUGGUGAUUGAGAGUGAAGGAAAUAAAAUAUAAUGGUCUCCUGAUCUCAACAUACCAGUGAACUGCAGACAGCUGAUAAAGACACGGGACAUCGUGUCCUUAUGAGCACAAAGUAAUUUGAGCUAAUUUAUUUGAUCCAAUUUAAUUAUGUAUUAUUUGAGAUUUCUUUGCUAGCAUCCGAUACCAUUAACAUUCACAUUUGAAUUCUUUGUUUUUUUCUCGUCGAGUGUCCUGUGUGACUUGUCUUUACAACAGCUCUGUCAGGGCCAAACAAGGGAUGUGGGUAGCAGAUAAAGUGCCCCUGCCAUUUACAACAAAAGCGUCUUUGUGUCUGUAAUAAUCUGUGAGGUCUGAAGUCCUUUUUGUCAUUCUAUCACGUUUAUUUUUCCACACUGCAUUAGCAUAGUAUGUGUUAGAUGCGUUUAACAGCUUCGACAUUAUGACAGAUGGUAGAACUUUGUAAAGUUUGGUUCUGACCAUGAUGCUGUACGCCUAAUAAAUAUGUGCUUACAUUAAAGGAG